UACGGAGGUGGCAAGCGUUACUUGGAAUUACUGGGUGUAAAGGGUUCGUAGGCGUCCUUUUAAGUUCUAGGUGAAAGCUUUCCGCUUAACGGAAAAAUUGCCUGGAAUACUAUCAGGAUAGAGAAUGAAAGAGGGAAGUGGAACUGUUGGUGUAAAGGUGAAAUUUGUGGAUAUCAACAGGAACGCCCAUAGCGAAAGCAACUUCCUGGUUCAUUUCUGACGCUGAGGAACGAAAGCUAGGGGAGCAAACAGGAGUAGAUACCCUGGUAGUCCUAGCCGUAAACGAUGAGUACUAGGUGUAUUCUCCUCUGGAGGAUGUGCCGUAGCUAACGCGUUAAGUACUCCACCUGGGGACUACGGCCGCAAGGCUAAA
rnacentral:rRNA from 1 species